rnacentral:misc_RNA from 1 species
GAUGAAGAACGUAGUGAAAUGCGAUAAGUAAUGUGAAUUGCAGAAUUCAGUGAAUCAUCGAAUCUUGAACGCACAUUGCGCCCCUUGGUAUUCCGGGGGGCAUGCCUGUUCGAGCGUCAUUAUCACCCCUCAAGCUCAGCUUGGUGUUGGGGCCUGCCCGUCACAGGGCAGCCCUUAAAAGCAGUGGCGGUGCCAUCUGGCUCUACGCGUAGUAAUACUUCUCGCGACAGAGUCCCGGUGGUGUCCUGCCAGAACCCCCCAUAUUUUUAAUGAUUGACCUCGGAUCAGGUAGGGAUACCCGCUGAACUUAAGCAUAUCAAUAAGCGGAGGA